GAUGAACGCUGGCGGCGUGCCUAAUACAUGCCAGUCGAGCGAACGGACGAGAAGCUUGCUUUUCUGAUGUUAGCGGCGGACGGGUGAGUAACACGUGGAUAACCUACCUAUAAGACUGGGAUAACUUCGGGAAACCGGAGCUAAUACCGGAUAAUAUUUUGAACCGCAUGGUUCAAAAGUGAAAGACGGUCUUGCUGUCACUUAUAGAUGGAUCCGCGCUGCAUUAGCUAGUUGGUAAGGUAACGGCUUACCAAGGCAACGAUGCAUAGCCGACCUGAGAGGGUGAUCGGCCACACUGGAACUGAGACACGGUCCAGACUCCUACGGGAGGCAGCAGUAGGGAAUCUUCCGCAAUGGGCGAAAGCCUGACGGAGCAACGCCGCGUGAGUGAUGAAGGUCUUCGGAUCGUAAAACGCUGUUAUUAGGGAAGAACAGAUGUGUAAGUAACUGUGCACAUCUUGACGGUACCGAAUCAGAAAGCCACGGCUAACUACGU
rnacentral:rRNA from 1 species